rnacentral:rRNA from 1 species
AUUGAACGCUGGCGGCAUGCCUUACACAUGCAAGUCGAACGGCAGCACGGGAGCAAUCCUGGUGGCGAGUGGCGAACGGGUGAGUAAUAUAUCGGAACGUGCCCAGUCUGGGGGAUAACGUAGCGAAAGCUACGCUAAUACCGCAUACGAUCUAUGGAUGAAAGCGGGGGAUCGCAGACCUCGCGCGAUUGGANCGGCCGAUAUCAGAUUAGGUAGUUGGUGAGGUAAAGGCUCGCCAAGCCGACGAUCUGUAGCUGGUCUGAGAGGAC